rnacentral:rRNA from 1 species
GACGAACGCUGGCGGCGUGCUUAACACAUGCAAGUCGAACGGAAAGGCCCUGCUUUUGUGGGGUGCUCGAGUGGCGAACGGGUGAGUAACACGUGAGUAACCUGCCCUUGACUUUGGGAUAACUUCAGGCAACUGGGGCUAAUACCGGAUAGGAGCUCCUGCUGCAUGGUGGGGGUUGGAAAGUUUCGGCGGUUGGGGAUGGACUCGCGGCCUAUCAGCUUGUUGGGGGGGUAGUGGCUUACCAAGGCUUUGACGGGUGGCCGGGCUGAGAGGGUGACCGGACACGUUGGGACUGGACUGCGGCCCGGACCACUCCGGUAGGCAGCGGAGCGGAAGAGUGUACAAUGGGCGGAGGGCAGAUGCAGCAAAGCCGCGUGGGGUGAAACGGGCUUCGGUUAGGAAACCGCUUUCGCCUGUGACGAAGCGUGAGUGACGGUAAUGGGUAAAGAAGCACCGGCUAACUACGUG